rnacentral:rRNA from 1 species
GCGGCAGGCCUAACACAUGCAAGUCGAGCGGUAGCACAGAGAGCUUGCUCUCGGGUGACGAGCGGCGGACGGGUGAGUAAUGUCUGGGAAACUGCCUGAUGGAGGGGGAUAACUACUGGAAACGGUAGCUAAUACCGCAUAAUGUCGCAAGACCAAAGUGGGGGACCUUCGGGCCUCAUGCCAUCAGAUGUGCCCAGAUGGGAUUAGCUAGUAGGUGGGGUAAUGGCUCACCUAGGCGACGAUCCCUAGCUGGUCUGAGAGGAUGACCAGCCACACUGGAACUGAGACACGGUCCAGACUCCUACGGGAGGCAGCAGUGGGGAAUAUUGCACAAUGGGCGCAAGCCUGAUGCAGCCAUGCCGCGUGUGUGAAGAAGGCCUUCGGGUUGUAAAGCACUUUCAGCAGGGAGGAAGGCGGUGAGGUUAAUAACCUCAUCGAUUGACGUUACCCGCAGAAGAAGCACCGGCUAACUCCGUGCCAGCAGCCGCGGUAAUACGGAGGGUGCAAGCGUUAAUCGGAAUUACUGGGCGUAAAGCGCACGCAGGCGGUCUGUCAAGUCGGAUGUGAAAUCCCCGGGCUCAACCUGGGAACUGCAUUCGAAACUGGCAGGCUAGAGUCUUGUAGAGGGGGGUAGAAUUCCAGGUGUAGCGGUGAAAUGCGUAGAGAUCUGGAGGAAUACCGGUGGCGAAGGCGGCCCCCUGGACAAAGACUGACGCUCAGGUGCGAAAGCGUGGGGAGCAAACAGGAUUAGAUACCCUGGUAGUCCACGCCGUAAACGAUGUCGAUUUGGAGGUUGUGCCCUUGAGGCGUGGCUUCCGGAGCUAACGCGUUAAAUCGACCGCCUGGGGAGUACGGCCGCAAGGUUAAAACUCAAAUGAAUUGACGGGGGCCCGCACAAGCGGUGGAGCAUGUGGUUUAAUUCGAUGCAACGCGAAGAACCUUACCUGGUCUUGACAUCCACAGAACUUAGCAGAGAUGCUUUGGUGCCUUCGGGAACUGUGAGACAGGUGCUGCAUGGCUGUCGUCAGCUCGUGUUGUGAAAUGUUGGGUUAAGUCCCGCAACGAGCGCAACCCUUAUCCUUUGUUGCCAGCGGUCCGGCCGGGAACUCAAAGGAGACUGCCAGUGAUAAACUGGAGGAAGGUGGGGAUGACGUCAAGUCAUCAUGGCCCUUACGACCAGGGCUACACACGUGCUACAAUGGCAUAUACAAAGAGAAGCGACCUCGCGAGAGCAAGCGGACCUCAUAAAGUAUGUCGUAGUCCGGAUUGGAGUCUGCAACUCGACUCCAUGAAGUCGGAAUCGCUAGUAAUCGUAGAUCAGAAUGCUACGGUGAAUACGUUCCCGGGCCUUGUACACACCGCCCGUCACACCAUGGGAGUGGGUUGCAAAAGAAGUAGGUAGCUUAACCUUCGGGAGGGCGCUUACCACUUUGUGAUUCAUGACUGGGGUGAAGUCAUAACA